UGAAUAAUGAAAUCUGCCCUGC
rnacentral:siRNA from 1 species